GAUGAACGCUGGCGGCGUGCCUAAUACAUGCAAGUUGAGCGAACGGACGAGAAGCUUGCUUCUCUGAUGUUAGCGGCGGACGGGUGAGUAAUACGUGGAUAACCUACCUAUAAGACUGGGAUAACUUCGGGAAACCGGAGCUAAUACCGGAUAAUAUUUUGAACCGCAUGGUUCAAAAGUGAAAGACGGUCUUGCUGUCACUUAUAGAUGGAUCCGCGCUGCAUUAGCUAGUUGGUAAGGUAACGGCUUACCAAGGCAACGAUGCAUAGCCGACCUGAGAGGGUGAUCGGCCACACUGGAACUGAGACACGGUCCAGACUCCUACGGGAGGCAGCAGUAGGGAAUCUUCCGCAAUGGGCGAAAGCCUGACGGAGCAACGCCGCGUGAGUGAUGAAGGUCUUCGGAUCGUAAAACUCUGUUAUUAGGGAAGAACAUAUGUGUAAGUAACUGUGCACAUCUUGACGGUACCUAAUCAGAAAGCCACGGCUAACUACGUG
rnacentral:rRNA from 1 species